GCAGUUAAAACGCUCGUAGUCGGAUUUCGGGGCAGGUUUGCCGGUCUGCCGAUGGGUAUGCACUGGUAGAACUGUCCUUCCUUCCGGAGACGGCGCCUACUCUUAACUGAGCGGGUGUCGGAGACGGAUCGUUUACUUUGAAAAAAUCAGAGUGUUUCAAGCAGGCAGCUCGCUUUUGCAUGGAUUAGCAUGGGAUAAUGAAAUAGGACUUUGGUGCUAUUUUGUUGGUUUCGAACACCGAAGUAAUGAUUAACAGGGACAGUCAGGGGCACUCGUAUUCCGCCGAGAGAGGUGAAAUUCUUAGACCAGCGGAAGACGAACCACUGCGAAAGCAUUUGCCAGGGAUGUUUUCACUGAUCAAGAACGAAAGUUAGGGGAUCGAAGACGAUCAGAUACCGUCGUAGUCUUAACCAUAAACCAUGCCGACUAGGGAUUGGAGGAUGUUCCUAUGUGACUCCUUCAGCACCUUUCGGGAAACUAAAGUCUUUGGGUUCCGGGGGGGAGUAUGGUCGCAAGGCUGAAACUUAA
rnacentral:rRNA from 1 species